AUUGAACGCUGGCGGCAGGCCUAACACAUGCAAGUCGAGCGGUAGAGAGGUGCUUGCAUCUCUUGAGAGCGGCGGACGGGUGAGUAAUGCCUAGGAAUCUGCCUAGUGGUGGGGGAUAACGUUCGGAAACGGACGCUAAUACCGCAUACGUCCUACGGGAGAAAGCGGGGGGAUCUUCGGACCUCGCGCCAUUAGAUGAGCCUAGGUCGGAUUAGCUAGUUGGUGAGGUAAUGGCUCACCAAGGCGACGAUCCGUAACUGGUCUGAGAGGAUGAUCAGUCACACUGGAACUGAGACACGGUCCAGACUCCUACGGGAGGCAGCAGUGGGGAAUAUUGGACAAUGGGCGAAAGCCUGAUCCAGCCAUGCCGCGUGUGUGAAGAAGG
rnacentral:rRNA from 1 species